rnacentral:tRNA from 1 species
GAGGGUAUGGCUUAAGGGGUAGAGCACAUGAUUAGCAUGCACAAGGUCUUGGGUUCAAUCCCCAGUACCUCCU